ACGCUCGACACCUACGGGAGGCUGCAGUGGGGAAUAUUGCACAAUGGGGGAAACCCUGAUGCAGCGACGCCGCGUGGAGGAAGAAGGUCUUCGGAUUGUAAACUCCUGUUGUUGGGGAAAAAGAGGAUGGUACCCAACAAGGAAGUGACGGCUAACUACGUGCCAGCAGCCGCGGUAAUCUGAGGCGGGCUGGCAAGGC
rnacentral:rRNA from 1 species